rnacentral:rRNA from 1 species
UACAGAGGGGGCAAGCGUUGUUCGGAAUUACUGGGCGUAAAGAGCUCGUAGGCGGUUUGUCGCGUCUGCCGUGAAAGUCCGGGGCUCAACUCCGGAUCUGCGGUGGGUACGGGCAGACUAGAGUGAUGUAGGGGAGACUGGAAUUCCUGGUGUAGCGGUGAAAUGCGCAGAUAAUCAGGAGGAACACCGAUGGCGAAGGCAGGUCUCUGGGCCGAUACUGACGCUGAGGAGCGAAAGCGUGGGGAGCGAACAGG